rnacentral:rRNA from 1 species
UGGGGAAUAUUUGACAAUGGGCGCAAGCCUGAUCCAGCCAUGCCGCGUGAGUGAUGAAGGCCCUAGGGUUGUAAAGCUCUUUCACCGGUGAAGAUAAUGACGGUAACCGGAGAAGAAGCCCCGGCUAACUUCGUGCCAGCAGCCGCGGUAAUACGAAGGGGGCUAGCGUUGUUCGGAUUUACUGGCCGUAAAGCGCACGUAGGCGGACUUUUAAGUCAGGGGUGAAAUCCCGGGGCUCAACCCCGGAACUGCCUUUGAUACUGGAAGUCUUGAGUAUGGUAGAGGUGAGUGGAAUUCCGAGUGUAGAGGUGAAAUUCGUAGAUAUUCGGAGGAACACCAGUGGCGAAGGCGGCUCACUGGACCAUUACUGACGCUGAGGUGCGAAAGCGUGGGGAGCAAACAGG